UUGGAGGGCAAGUCUGGUGCCAGCAGCCGCGGUAAUUCCAGCUCCAAUAGCGUAUAUUAAAGUUGUUGCAGUUAAAAAGCUCGUAGUUGAAUUUCGGGGUUCUUCCGUUGGUCAGGCUAACAAGUCUGUACUAGCGUGUAGAAUCUCUACCUUCUGGGGAACCAUCAUGUUAUUAAUUUGGCGUGGUGGGAAACCAGGACCUUUACCUUGAAAAAAUUAGAGUGUUCAAAGCAGGCUUACGUCUGAAUACAUUAGCAUGGAAUAAUAAAAUAGGACGGUGGUCCUGUUUUGUUGGUUUCUGAAUCACCGUAAUGAUUAAUAGGGAUAGUUGGGGGCAUUAGUAUUCAAUUGUCAGAGGUGAAAUUCUUGGAUUUAUUGAAGACUAACUUCUGCGAAAGCAUUUGCCAAGGAUGUUUUCAUUAAUCAAGAACGAAAGUUAGGGGAUCGAAGACGAUCAGAUACCGUCGUAGUCUUAACCAUAAACUAUGCCGACUAGGGAUCGGACGAUGUUAAAUUUUAUUGACUCGUUCGGCGCCUUACGGGAAAC
rnacentral:rRNA from 1 species